rnacentral:piRNA from 1 species
UGAUUCAAAUCUCACGAGGAGUUUCAAUCU